rnacentral:rRNA from 1 species
AGAUGGCGACCGGCGCACGGGUGAGUAACACGUAUCCAACCUGCCGAUAACUCGGGGAUAGCCUUUCGAAAGAAAGAUUAAUACCCGAUGGUAUAAUCAGACCGCAUGGUUUGAUUAUUAAAGAAUUUCGGUUAUCGAUGGGGAUGCGUUCCAUUAGGCGGUUGGUGAGGUAACGGCUCACCAAACCUUCGAUGGAUAGGGGUUCUGAGAGGAAGGUCCCCCACAUUGGAACUGAGACACGGUCCAA